CGCAGAGGCCGCGGUGGCGGCGCCUUGACCUUGGGUGGAACGUGAAGAACGGGUAGCGGGGCUCCGGACCCAUAGCGUGGAUUAUUACUUGGUGCCAGUCAGCCGGGAUUGAGAGAGCCGCGUCCUCGCGCCGGUCCUGCGCGGGUCCGUCCUCUGGAGCAGCCGGGUCCCUCGCUGCAGGUGAAAUUGGAGGUUCUGGUGGAUGUGAUGGGCACUUUCUAACUGAAGAAGAAGGACCAGAACAAAGGGAGCUGCCCAUGGUCACCACAGCUCAGCUGCAUAUCUGCGGUUCCUGGCCCAGGGCGGGUUCUGCACACCUUUCGCCAGACAUGUCUCCUGCCCCUGCGUGGCAGCCUGUGACAGCUGUUGGCAGGCAGGAGGCUUGCAGGUCCCGGCCACGGAAGGAAGAUGGAGCAAGGGCCGCUCUUCCUCGCCAUGUUCCCCACGGACCCCCACGGAGGACCCAGCUGGGUCAGACCAUCUCUAGAGAACUUCUUGAAGAAGUUCCAUCAUGACUUCCCUUGGAGAAUAGCAGAGAACCUCGCCCCGAGGGAUCAUCGCCACAUUGACCUGACGUAACAGGGUGGCUGCAGGCGAGGACACGCCUGGUCCAGACUCUACGCUCCUUUCUUGGACAGUUCCUGUACUGCUGUCUCAGAGAGACGCUUCUCCCACCCCCAUGUGGGCCGCGGAGGCCUUUGUGCCACACCCUGGCUUGCCCACACCCCCCACCCCCGUGUCUGCUGUGCUCUGGGACUCGGUGUUUCUUCUUGCUUGCACCGUACUCUCCAGCCGGAUACCGAGUGAAUAGUUAACUUCGUGUAGGUCAAAUGGGAUCUUAAUUUUCAUUCCUGCUCCUUCUAGAAGAGGCCAAUGUUUGUGCCUGGCAGGGACACCUCUGGUCGUAUCCCUUCUUGCUUAUUUGCAAUCUGCCAUCCCCUUCGACACACCCCCUCCCACACACAUACCUCCCAUCCCCAGGUUCCCGAGUGACCAAGGGUCAGGACAGGAGUUCCCCGGACUCUCAGAUGUCCCCAUCCUCGGUGAACUGGCCAUGGCAGGGGGCGUUGGUCAUGAGGCCUUUAGGCUCCUGUCCUCCAUGUAUGACUUUUUUGUGUGUCACGCACAGGUAUACAUCUGGAAAGAUAAAAACGAGUGCUGGCCUUCUUCCUGUCAGCUGUGACCCAAGACCCAUGACCAGCUGCACAGACCCCCGCUGUCAUGGUGGCAAUUGAGGUUCGUGCAGAUCACGGUCUUUGCGACAGAGCAGCCAGCCACCAGGGUUGGUGAAGUUCAUGAAAGGCAUCCUUCCCCCAGGGCGU